rnacentral:rRNA from 1 species
CAGUCGCCGCGGUAAUACGUAGGUGGCAAGCGUUGUCCGGAAUCAUUGGGCGUAAAGGGCUCGCAGGCGGUUUCUUAAGUCUGAUGUGAAAGCCCCCGGCUCAACCGGGGAGGGUCAUUGGAAACUGGGAAACUUGAGUGCAGAAGAGGAGAGUGGAAUUCCACGUGUAGCGGUGAAAUGCGUAGAGAUGUGGAGGAACACCAGUGGCGAAGGCGACUCUCUGGUCUGUAACUGACGCUGAGGAGCGAAAGCGUGGGGAGCGAACAGGAUUAGAUACCCCCGUAGUCCCUGUCUCUUAUAC